rnacentral:rRNA from 1 species
AGGAUGAACGCUGGCGGUAUGCCUAACACAUGCAAGUCGAACGGUCACUUCGGUGAUAGUGGCGGACGGGUGAGUAACGCGUGAGAAUCUGCCUCUUGGUUGGGGACAACAGUUGGAAACGACUGCUAAUACCCAAUGUGCCGCAAGGUGAAAGAUUUAUUGCCAAGAGAGGAGCUCGCGUCUGAUUAGCUAGUUGGUAGUGUAAGGGACUACCAAGGCAUCGAUCAGUAGCUGGUCUGAGAGGAUGAGCAGCCACACUGGGACUGAGACACGGCCCAGACUCCUACGGGAGGCAGCAGUGGGGAAUUUUCCGCAAUGGGCGAAAGCCUGACGGAGCAAUACCGCGUGAGGGAGGAAGGCUCUUGGGUUGUAAACCUCUUUUCUUAGGGAAGAACACAAUGACGGUACCUAAGGAAUAAGCAUCGGCUAACUCCGUGCCAGCAGCCGCGGUAAUACGGAGGAUGCAAGCGUUAUCCGGAAUUAUUGGGCGUAAAGCGUCCGUAGGUGGUUUUUCAAGUCUGCUGUCAAAGACCGUGGCUUAACCACGGAAAGGCAGUGGAAACUGAGAGACUAGAGUUCGGUAGGGGUAGCGGGAAUUCCCAGUGUAGCGGUGAAAUGCGUAGAUAUUGGGAAGAACAUCGGUGGCGAAGGCGCGCUACUGGACCGAAACUGACACUCAGAGGACGAAAGCUAGGGGAGCGAAAGGGAUUAGAUACCCCUGUAGUCCUAGCUGUAAACGAUGGAAACUAGGUGUGGCUUGUAUCGACCCGAGCCGUGCCGAAGCUAACGCGUUAAGUUUCCCGCCUGGGGAGUACGCACGCAAGUGUGA